rnacentral:rRNA from 1 species
UACGGAGGGGGCUAGCGUUGUUCGGAAUUACUGGGCGUAAAGCGCACGUAGGCGGCUUUGUAAGUUAGAGGUGAAAGCCCGGGGCUCAACUCCGGAAUUGCCUUUAAGACUGCAUCGCUAGAAUUGUGGAGAGGUAAGUGGAAUUCCGAGUGUAGAGGUGAAAUUCGUAGAUAUUGGGAAGAACACCGGUGGCGAAGGCGGCUCACUGGCUCAUUACUGACGCUCAGGCGCGAAAGCGUGGGGAUCAAACAGG